rnacentral:siRNA from 1 species
CUUACUUCUAACGGCUCAGAA